rnacentral:rRNA from 1 species
AGAGUUUGAUCCUGGCUCAGGAUGAACGCUGGCGGCGUGCUUAACACAUGCAAGUCGAACGAUCCUUCGGGAUAGUGGCGGACGGGUGAGUAACGCGUGGGAAUCUGCCCUCAGGAGGGGGAUAACGGCUGGAAACGGCCGCUAAUACCCCAUAUGCCGAGAGGUGAAAUGAAUUUCGCCUGAGGAUGAGCCCGCGUCUGAUUAGCUAGUUGGUGGGGUAAAGGCCUACCAAGGCAACGAUCAGUAGCUGGUCUGAGAGGAUGAUCAGCCACACUGGGACUGAGACACGGCCCAGACUCCUACGGGAGGCAGCAGUGGGGAAUUUUCCGCAAUGGGCGAAAGCCUGACGGAGCAACGCCGCGUGAGGGAUGAAGGCCUCUGGGCUGUAAACCUCUUUUCUCAAGGAAGAAGACCUGACGGUACUUGAGGAAUAAGCCACGGCUAAUUCCGUGCCAGCAGCCGCGGUAAUACGGGAGUGGCAAGCGUUAUCCGGAAUUAUUGGGCGUAAAGCGUCCGCAGGCGGCCUUGUAAGUCUGUUGUUAAAGCGUGGAGCUCAACUCCAUUUAAGCAAUGGAAACUACAAGGCUGGAGUGUGGUAGGGGCAGAGGGAAUUCCCGGUGUAGCGGUGAAAUGCGUAGAUAUCGGGAAGAACACCAGUGGCGAAGGCGCUCUGCUGGGCCAUAACUGACGCUCAUGGACGAAAGCCAGGGGAGCGAAAGGGAUUAGAUACCCCUGUAGUCCUGGCCGUAAACGAUGAACACUAGGUGUCGGGGGAAUCGACCCCCUCGGUGUCGUAGCCAACGCGUUAAGUGUUCCGCCUGGGGAGUACGCACGCAAGUGUGAAACUCAAAGGAAUUGACGGGGGCCCGCACAAGCGGUGGAGUAUGUGGUUUAAUUCGAUGCAACGCGAAGAACCUUACCAGGGUUUGACAUCCUGCGAACCCCUGAGAAAUCGGGGGGUGCCUUCGGGAGCGCAGAGACAGGUGGUGCAUGGCUGUCGUCAGCUCGUGUCGUGAGAUGUUGGGUUAAGUCCCGCAACGAGCGCAACCCACGUCUUUAGUUGCCAGCAUUCAGUUGGGCACUCUAGAGAGACCGCCGGUGAUAAACCGGAGGAAGGUGUGGAUGACGUCAAGUCAUCAUGCCCCUUACAUCCUGGGCUACACACGUACUACAAUGCUACGGACAAAGGGCAGCAAGCUCGCGAGAGUUAGCAAAUCCCAUAAACCGUGGCUCAGUUCAGAUCGUAGGCUGCAACUCGCCUACGUGAAGGAGGAAUCGCUAGUAAUCGCAGGUCAGCAUACUGCGGUGAAUACGUUCCCGGGCCUUGUACACACCGCCCGUCACACCAUGGAAGUUGGCCAUGCCCGAAGUCG